AANGAGGUNGCAACGUUGUCCCGGAUUCACUGGGCGUAAAGGGCUUGNUAGGCGGUCAUGUAAGUCAGAUGUGAAAUCGUACUGCUCAACAGUACAACUGCAUCCGAUACUGCAUGACUUGAGUGCAGAAGGGGAAAAUGGAAUUUGCGGUGUAGCGGUGAAAUGCGUAGAUAUCGCAAAGAACACCUGUGGCGAAGGCGGUUUUCUGGUCUGCAACUGACGCUGAGGAGCGAAAGCUAGGGGAGCAAACAGGAUUAGAUACCCUGGUAGUCCUAGCUGUAAACGAUGUACACUAGGUGUAGGAGAUUCAUUUCUUCUGUGCCGACGCUAACGCAUUAAGUGUACCGCCUGGGGACUACGAUCGCAAGAUUGAAACUCAAAGAAAUUGACGGGGGUCCGCACAAGUGGUGGAGCAUGUGGUUUAAUUCGACGCAACGCGAAGAACCUUACCCAGGCUUGACAUCCUACUGACCGUUUUGUGAAAGCAUAACUUUGGACCUUCGGGUUCACAGUAGGACAGGUGUUGCAUGGUUGUCGUCAGCUCGUGCCGUGAGGUGUUGGGUUAAGUCCUUUAACGAGCGCAACCCCUAUUGCUAGUUGCCAGCGAGUCAUGUCGGGAACUCUAGCGAGACUGCCCGGGAUAACCGGGAGGAAGGUGGGGAUGACGUCAAAUCAUCAUGGCCCUUAUGUCUGGGGCGACACACGUGCUACAA
rnacentral:rRNA from 1 species